AGUGAACGCUGGCGGUAGGCCUAACACAUGCAAGUCGAACGGCAGCACAGUAAGAGCUUGCUCUUACGGGUGGCGAGUGGCGGACGGGUGAGGAAUACAUCGGAAUCUACUUUUUCGUGGGGGAUAACGUAGGGAAACUUACGCUAAUACCGCAUACGACCUACGGGUGAAAGCAGGGGAUCUUCGGACCUUGCGCGAUUGAAUGAGCCGAUGUCGGAUUAGCUAGUUGGCGGGGUAAAGGCCCACCAAGGCGACGAUCCGUAGCUGGUCUGAGAGGAUGAUCAGCCACACUGGAACUGAGACACGGUCCAGACUCCUACGGGAGGCAGCAGUGGGGAAUAGUGGGCAAUGGGCGCAAGCCUGAUCCAGCCAUACCGCGUGGGUGAAGAAGGCCUUCGGGUUGUAAAGCCCUUUUGUUGGGAAAGAAAAGCAGCAGGUUAAUACCCCGCUGUUCUGGCGGUACCCAAAGAAGAAGCACCGGCUAACUUCGUG
rnacentral:rRNA from 1 species